rnacentral:rRNA from 1 species
CGGACGGGUGAGUAAUGUCUGGGAAACUGCCCGAUGGAGGGGGAUAACUACUGGAAACGGUAGCUAAUACCGCAUAACGUCGCAAGACCAGGAGGGGGACCUUCGGGCCUCUUGCCAUCGGAUGUGCCCAGAUGGGAUUAGCUAGUAGGUGGGGUAACGGCUCACCUAGGCGACGAUCCCUAGCUGGUCUGAGAGGAUGACCAGCCACACUGGAACUGAGACACGGUCCAG